rnacentral:misc_RNA from 1 species
GAAGCCUCACAAGCUUAGAUUGUACUCAAUUGCUAGCAGUGCCCUUGGUGACUUCGGUGACUCCAAAACUGUUUCCCUGUGUGUCAAGAGGCUUGUGUACACCAAUGACAAAGGGGAAGAAGUUAAAGGAGUUUGCUCAAACUUCUUAUGUGACUUGAAGCCUGGAGCAGAGGUCAAGAUUACUGGACCUGUAGGCAAAGAAAU